AUUGAACGCUGGCGGCAUGCCUUACACAUGCAAGUCGAACGGCAGCACGGGUGCUUGCACCUGGUGGCGAGUGGCGAACGGGUGAGUAAUACAUCGGAACAUGUCCUGUAGUGGGGGAUAGCCCGGCGAAAGCCGGAUUAAUACCGCAUACGAUUUACGGAUGAAAGCGGGGGACCUUCGGGCCUCGCGCUGUAGGGUUGGCCGAUGGCUGAUUAGCUAGUUGGUGGGGUAAAGGCCUACCAAGGCGACGAUCAGUAGCUGGUCUGAGAGGACGACCAGCCACACUGGGACUGAGACACGGCCCAGACUCCUACGGGAGGCAGCAGUGGGGAAUUUUGGACAAUGGGCGAAAGCCUGAUCCAGCAAUGCCGCGUGUGUGAAGAAGGCCUUCGGGUUGUAAAGCACUUUUGUCCGGAAAGAAAUCCUUGGCCCUAAUACGGUCGGGGGAUGACGGUACCGGAAGAAUAAGCACCGGCUAACUACGUG
rnacentral:rRNA from 1 species